GAAUAUAAUCUUCACAUCUUAUAAAUCUAUCGACCAAAAUUUUCAUUUGGUCGAACAUUUGUAUCCAUCAAAUUCCGCGAUUGCAACGCUGUAACAUAGCUUUUGGCUACUCCAUUAAAUCAUAAUCGGUCGUGUGUAUCGCAUGCAAUCUGGCUUACUUCGGUUAUCAAGGCUCGUAAAGAACGGAAAAUCGGCGAUAAGCCGCGACAAUGCACGGGCUCCGGACUGGUCCUGAUUUCUUUUCACCCAGACCCCGGCCACUCGUGUAUUUUGUUGGUGCGACAAUCGUCUUCGCUCGACCCGUCCGCACCGGGCAGAAAAAAGUUACCAUGACGAAUCGCAAUCGCGACACGACAUUUUCGAGGUUUGCUGGUAUUGAGAGAAAGGAUAUUUAUACAAAAUAGACUAUUUAAAUUUCUUAUUAUUUUUAUUAUUAAUAUAGCAAAAGAGAAAAAUCUUUUUUUUUAUACAUAUUAUAUGAUUUUAAAGGUUAUUUUCAAUUUUUUUUAUCUUUGAUAUUGUAAUUUUUUGCAAUAUUUCUCAAUCUUUUUAUUACUUGAUUCGGCAUGUUAUAUUGCGAUUUAUAGAUUGAGAAAUAUUGAUCUUUUUUUUUCAUAUAAAGUGUAAAUUUUUUAAUAUGGUAACUCUAUCCUUCUCUAAAUAUAUUCCCAUUGAUAUAAUCUACAAUUUCAAAACAACAAAUCGACAGAAAAAUAAUUUCAUCGGUUUAUUCCAAAAUUCUAUAUCUUUCUAUAUCUUUAUUGUUAUAUCUUUC